UGAGGAAUAUUGGUCAAUGGGCGCGAGCCUGAACCAGCCAAGUCGCGUGAGGGAUGACGGCCCUACCGGGUUGUAAACCGUCUUUUAGUCGGGGAGUCAAAAGUUCCGUUAACGUGUAACGGAGUCGAGAGUACCCGUAAGAAAAGCAUCGGCUAACUCCGU
rnacentral:rRNA from 1 species